rnacentral:rRNA from 1 species
UACCAGCACCCCCGAGUGGUCGGGACGUUUAUUGGGCCUAAAGCAUCCGUAGCCGGUUCUACAAGUCUUCCGUUAAAUCCACCUGCUUAACAGAUGGGCUGCGGAAGAUACUAUAGAGCUAGGAGGCGGGAGAGGCAAGCGGUACUCGAUGGGUAGGGGUAAAAUCCGUUGAUCCAUUGAAGACCACCAGUGGCGAAGGCGGCUUGCCAGAACGCGCUCGACGGUGAGGGAUGAAAGCUGGGGGGAGCAAGCCGG